GAGCUGCACUUCUGCCAUCUCCAUAUUAACGCCAAGCAGCCGGUGUGGAGCGUUGGGAGUGUUGACUUCACGCGCCGGGGAGACUCUGGGCUGGAGCCACGUUGCUACGCUACAGUUCUCCUCUCUCUCCUCCUCCAUAUCUGCUUCAGCCGACUGUCAAGAAGCAUCCGCGAAGGCGCCGUGAAGCCCCCAGUGUGUGAGGCGGUGGACCAGCCAUCAAGGGGGAAGGGGAGGGCUGACGAUCUCUGCCUCUUCCCCUGGACUCCUGCAGCUCUCCUCCUCCAUCACCCCCCCUCCACCAGAGCUCCAGCUCCACGAACAC
ensembl:lncRNA